rnacentral:lncRNA from 10 species
GUAGACAGAGGCUCUUGCCCGUGACGAGACCUGUUCACUCGUGGCACUCGGGAUGUAGUGGGAGAAAGCAGAGAGGUGGGGACAAGAGGUGCCAUGAGGAACCCCACAACCAUAGCAGGGCCUCUGCAUGCCAGGAUAAGUAGGCACUCCGUUUUUAAGGGUCUCGUCACAGAACAUCAGCAUGAUCCUGGCAGCCCAUAGACCAGACGUCCUUGAGGUCUUAGCGCCACCGCCUCCCUGUCUUCCUCAUGUAGGCUGCUUUCAUGGGAAACUGAUGGUACAUAGGGCGGAUGCAGCUCUUGGAACGAUUUUGUUUUCCAGGGCCAGGUUUCAGAAUAUGGCUGUAUGUUUAAAAUUAUGUCUAGCUGCCAUUAAUUCCUGUUGUCCCCGCAUGUCUGAAGAACUUAGCCACUCUUAUUCCACCUGUACCCUCACCCACUCUCCCACGCCACCCCUCCCAUGCCACCAGCUCUUUUGAAGAGAAUCCUCGAUGCGUGCCACCUAUCCGUAUUUCAGUAUGCCUCCCUGGAAGAGAAGGGCAGGGUGCAACAGCAGCAACCCCCGAGGAGUGUCCCACUGAGGCUGCUGCCUCUUCAGCCAUAGGGCUCUGGGCACUUGGGGCUUCUUCGCCAGCGCAGCUAUGGUCGAGUGUGUUUCAGCGGCAUGUCUUUGUUGCCUUUCUCAGGUCGAGUGUUAUCUGUUCAAACCCCACCUUUUAAAUGGUCCCAUGAGAGAUGAGAUUUUUUUCCUAUUAGUUGGUACCUUUUAAAAUGCCAACUCCUCCUCCCUUGAUAAUCUUAGCAUUGAUUAAUGACUCAACCAUCAUUAAAAUUUGUGACAUGAGAUAAAGGACGCUUCAGUUUGGGAGUUUAGGUGUAGUUUUUUUUUUUUCGGCAUGUGUCACAAG